UACGUAGGCAGCGAGCGUUGUUCGGAGUUACUGGGCGUAAAGAGUGCGUAGGCGGUUUUCUAAGUUUGGUGUGAAAUCUCCCGGCUUAACUGGGAGGGUGCGCCGAAGACUGGAAGGCUUGAGUAUGGGAGAGGUAAGCGGAAUUCCUGGUGUAGCGGUGAAAUGCGUAGAGAUCUGGAGGAAUACCAGAGGCGAAGGCGGCUUGCUGGGGUGGAAUUGACGCUCAGACACGAAAGCAUGGGGAGCGAACGGG
rnacentral:rRNA from 1 species